rnacentral:rRNA from 1 species
GUCUACGGGCCAUACCACCCUGAACGCGCACCGAUCUCGUCUGAUCUCGGAAGCUAAGCAGGGUCGGGCCUGGUUAGUACUUGGAUGGGCAGAAAGUAACCAUUGUGGGCCCCGGCGUGGUGGCUC